rnacentral:rRNA from 1 species
UCAAACUUGAGAACGCUGGCGGCAUGCUCACACAUGCAAGUUGAACGGGUUUAAGUUAUUAAACUUAACAAGUAGCGGACGGGUGAGUAACGCGUAAGAACCUACCUUUAGAGUAAGGAAUAACUAUUGGAAACGAUAGAUAAUACCUUAUAAGCUUAUAGUAAAAGAUAAAAUCGCCUAAGGAUGGGCUUGCGUCUGAUUAGCUUGUAGGUGAUUUAACAAGAUUCACCAAGGCAACGAUCAGUAGUUGGUCUAAGAGGAUGAUCAAACAAACUGGGACUGAGACACGGACCAGAACUCUACGGAGGGCAGCAGUGAGGAAUUUUCCGCAAUGGGCGAAAGCCUGACGGAGCAAUGCCGCGUGGAGGAUGAAAAGCUUGUGAGUCGUAAAAUCCUUUACUUAGUUGAAGAACUAAGACGGUAUCUCAGGAAUAAGCAUCGGCUAACUCCCGUGCAGCAGACGCGGUAAUACGGAGGAAUUGCAGCGUAUAUCCGAAUUAUUGGGCGUACAAACGUCUGUACAGUGGGAUCAUAAGUCCUAAUGUUAAAUAUUACAGGCUUAACCUUAAAAAAAGCGGUAUGAAACUACAAACACUGAGUUUAGCACAAGUAGAGGGAAUCUCAAGUGAGGGUGCAAGCGUAAGACCAGGAGACACGGGAGCGAAAGAGCCACUGGGUAAAAUGACCGGAGAGAAGU